rnacentral:rRNA from 1 species
CUCGUGAAUUCAUCUCCGGGGGUAGAGCACUGUUUCGGCUAGGGGGCCAUCCCGGCUUACCAACCCGAUGCAAACUGCGAAUACCGGAGAAUGUUAUCACGGGAGACACACGGCGGGUGCUAACGUCCGUCGUGAAGAGGGAAACAACCCAGACCGCCAGCUAAGGUCCCAAAGUCAUGGUUAAGUGGGAAACGAUGUGGGAAGGCCCAGACAGCCAGGAUGUUGGCUUAGAAGCAGCCAUCAUUUAAAGAAAGCGUAAUAGCUCACUGGUCGAGUCGGCCUGCGCGGAAGAUGUAACGGGGCUAAACCAUGCACCGAAGCUGCGGCAGCGACACUGUGUGUUGUUGGGUAGGGGAGCGUUCUGUAAGCCUGUGAAGGUGUGUCGUGAGGCAUGCU